UCCUAAAUGACUGAGAAUAAGCGUUAGACCUUUAAUUUAAUUACGGUAAUUCAUUUUUUACCUUUAGGAA
rnacentral:tRNA from 1 species